ensembl:lncRNA
GUGCAUUAGGUACAAGCAUUUUUUGGAGGCUUAUUUUCUGAUAUUUUCUUUCCAGAAACAAAGAGGAGCAGAGGAUGAAAGAGGUCAACCUCUGCAUGAAGAACAUCCACACUGUGAAGGAAAACACUGAAGCCCUGAAGACAGAACUCUCUGAAUUAAAGGCCCAGCUGUCUGAGAAAAGGGAGGUGACAAAGGCAGCUCGAAUUAAGAACCACAAAACAGGUAAAACCAGGACUGAUCCUGCUGAUGUCCCAGAGAAUGAUACUCCCAAGGAGAAGGUAUCUUCUAAGGAGGAGGCCAUCAUUAAGGAGGACGCCACCACAAAAGAGAAGCCUGCCCCCAGGAGAAGAGCAGCUUCAAAAGAGAAGCUUACCUCAAAAGAGGAGGCUGCCCUCAAAGAUGUGGCCUCCAUGGAGGAGAAGGCUGCCCCCAAGAAAAGAGCUGCUCCAAAAAAGAAGCCUGUUUCUGAAGAGGAGACUGCUCUCAAAGAGGCUACUUCGAAAGAGACGGUUAUCCCCAAGAAGAGAGCACCUCCUAGAGCGAAGGCUGCCCCCAAAGAAGAGGCCAUCACAACACAGGAGGCCAGCUUAAAGGAAAAGGCUGCUCUCAAAGAGGAGGCCAUUGUGACGGUGGAGGCCACCUCGAAGGAGACGGUUGUCCCCAAGAAGAGAGCUGCCCCAAAAAAGAAGGCUGCCCCUGAAGAUGAGGCCUCCACAAGGGAGGAGACUGCUGCCAAAGAGGAGGACAUUGUAACAGAGGAGGCCACCUUGAAGGAGACGGUUAUCCCCAAGAAGAGAGCAGCUCCUAGAGCGAAGGCUGCUCCCAAGGAGGAGGCCACCAUGAAGAAGGAGGCCAUCCUCAACGAGAAGGAGGCCACAGCAAUUGAGAACACUACCGUAAAGGAGAAGGUUGCCCCAAAGAAAAGAGCUGCCCUCAAAUUGAGACCUGGGAUGAACGAUAAGACUGGCACAGAAGAGGAGACUACCACAAAGGACAAGGUUCUCCCCAAGAAGAGAGCACCUCCCAAAGAGAAGGAUGCUCCCAAAGAGGAGGCCACCUCGAAGGAGAAGGUUCUCCCCAAGAUAAGAGCAGCUCCCAAAGAGAAGGCCAUCGUGACUGAGGAGGCCGCUCCCAAGAAGAGGGCUGCCACCAAAGAGGAGGCCACCACAAAGAAGAAGGUUAUCCCCAAGAAGACAGCACCUCCUAAAGAGAAGGCUGCUUCCAAAGAGGAGGCCUCUACAAAGGAGGAGGUUAUCCCCAAGAAGAGAGCACCUCCUAAAGAGAAAGAUGCUCCUACAGAGGAGGAUGUCUCCAAAGAGGAGGCCACCACAAAGGAGAAGGUUCUCCCCAAGAAGAGAGCACCUCCUAAAGAGGAGGAUGCUCACCAAGAGGAGGCCAUCACGACAGAGCAAUCCACCACAAAGGAGAAAGCUGCUCCCAAGAAGAAAGCACCUCUCAAAGAGAACGCUGCGCCCAAAGAGGAAGCAGUCACGACAGAGGAGGCCGCCUCGAAGAAGAAGGUUAUCCCCAAGAAGAGAGCACCUCCCAAAGAGAAGCCUUCGUCAAAAGGGAAGACUGCCCCUGAAGAGGAGGCCAUUGUGAUGGAGAAGGCUGCUCCCAAGAAGAGAGCAGCUCCUAGAGGGAAGGCUGCUCCCAAGGAGGAGGCCACCGUGAAGGAGGAGGCCGUCCUCAAUGAGAAAGCACUCUCCAGAAAGAAGACAACCACAAAGGGAAGACCUUCAAAGGAUACAAACCUAGACAAGGUUCUACAAGAGGAACAAGCAGAAACGAGUCCUCAGCCACCAGAGAUGCAGAAAUCAUCAAAAACCCGCAAGACAGGCAGACCCCCAAAAGUGCCGAAAUCUCAAAGCCCCUCAGAGAGUGAUUCUCAAUCAGUCUGCCGCUCGAAAAGAGCUGCCACCAAAUCUACCAGAGAGUGAGAUGACCAAUAAGAAAACAGAAUGCAGUUUCAGACAGGGAUAGUCAUAAAAAGGUACUGAACUUUGCACUUAGACCCUGUUCAGACCUGGAAUUAACAUUUUUCCUGGAUAAUCUGGUCAUAAUUGUCCAAUCUUGUGGACAAACUGCAAUCUGAUUCGUCAAAUCACCUCCAGAGGUGGACGCAUAUUAUGUCUUCAAGCAGCAAAGCCCCGCCCACAAUAGCGGCGUCACUGGCCCCUGCUGGAACAGGCGUAAUAAUCACGAGACCACACCAUCCACCGUCCAAGCGGGUUAGCUGAGCAUAGUACAACAACAAUCUAAUGGAUAAAUUAGGGUAAUACUUGUGACUUGUAGCUCCCUUACCACACACAGUUUAGGCUCAGGAAAUGUGAACUGAAACAUCUUUAUUUAUUUAUAUUGAUUUAAUAAGAAUUAAAAUAAUGUAUUUGUGCCCUGAUAUAAAGCUGCUUAGUUUAGGGGAGUAACUGUACUGGGCUCUGUUUAAGAUGCUGGAGCUCAGUGUUUUCAUUGUUCCUUUACUGACCUCUUGUGGCACAUUUAUUCUUGUUUUAUUGUAUUUUUUGUACAGUUUGUAAAAUAAGGCUCUAGCCACACAAAUGCACAUCUCCUCUUACUCUUACUCUCUUUUAUUUACUGUUUUUUAUCUUUUGUUUUUUUUUUCAAAAACACCUAUGAUCAAAUAAAAAAGAUUUCAGUAAAUUACUUGUUCA